rnacentral:ncRNA from 1 species
AAGCGCCAGAGCCGCGCCAGGAGCGCGGCGGACGAGGAGAGGGGAGUAUCGAACCUUCGGCGGAUGCCCCUCCGGCGGGUUUUCCCCGUCGUCAGGCAGCCUACAAAUAUGCGGGCAACCGCAAAACAAAGCGGCUGUUAA